AACGAGCGGGUACCAGGGAGCUUGCUCCUGGGUGACGAGCGGCGGACGGGUGAGUAAUGUCUGGGAAACUGCCUGAUGGAGGGGGAUAACUACUGGAAACGGUAGCUAAUACCGCAUAAUGUCGCAAGACCAAAGAGGGGGACCUUCGGGCCUCUUGCCAUCAGAUGUGCCCAGAUGGGAUUAGCUAGUAGGUGGGGUAAUGGCUCACCUAGGCGACGAUCCCUAGCUGGUCUGAGAGGAUGACCAGCCACACUGGAACUGAGACACGGUCCAGACUCCUACGGGAGGCAGCAGUGGGGAAUAUUGCACAAUGGGCGCAAGCCUGAUGCAGCCAUGCCGCGUGUAUGAAGAAGGCCUUCGGGUUGUAAAGUACUUUCAGCGAGGAGGAAGGCAUUGUGGUUAAUAACCACAGUGAUUGACGUUACUCGCAGAAGAAGCACCGGCUAACUCCGUGCCAGCAGCCGCGGUAAUACGGAGGGUGCAAGCGUUAAUCGGAAUUACUGGGCGUAAAGCGCACGCAGGCGGUCUGUCAAGUCGGAUGUGAAAUCCCCGGGCUCAACCUGGGAACUGCAUUCGAAACUGGCAGGCUAGAGUCUUGUAGAGGGGGGUAGAAUUCCAGGUGUAGCGGUGAAAUGCGUAAGAUCUGGAGGAAUACCGGUGGCGAAAGCGGCCCCUUGGACAAACUGACCCUUCAGUGCGAAAGCGUGGGGGACAACCGGAUUUAAUACCUGGUAUUCAACCC
rnacentral:rRNA from 1 species